UAGCAUAUAUUAUCGUCCAAAAUUGUCGUGGCAUCCAACGAAAUCCGAAUCGGAUUACCGCUGCGCAGGAAUUAUCGCAAAACGGAAGACGAUGGCGGCGUGCAUCUCAGUUGCUUUUCCCGUCGUCCCAAUUCCAUCCUCGUCAAACCCUAGCCUACAUCGUCGCCGCAGAUUCGCCGGAAAUGUUACCGCCGCUAUGAGCCAGACAAAGGAUGCUUCGUUUGGAGUUAAGGUUGUUGAGGGCAUUGGCGGGCUCCCCAAAGUCUGUUUGAGCACGGCUUAUGGGAGCGAGGCUGAAAUAUACUUGUUUGGAGCAUGUCUUACCUCAUGGAAGCUUGAGAAUGGCAAGGACCUCCUCUUUAUUCGGCCAGAUGCUGUCUUCAAUGGGAAGAAACCGAUUAGUGGAGGAAUCCCACAUUGUUUCCCACAGUUUGGACCUGGUCCUAUGCAGCAGCAUGGAUUUGCAAGGAACAUGGAAUGGUCUCUUAAGGAUUCUCAAAAUAAUGAAGGUGAGCCUGUUGUAACCUUGGAACUUAAGGAUGACCCCUACACUCGUUCAAUGUGGGAUUUUAGCUUUCAAGCUUUAUACAAGGUCACUUUACAUUCUGAGAGUUUUUCAACAGCCUUAUCCAUCACAAACACAGACAAGAAGCCCUUCUCUUUUACCACGGCCUUGCACACAUACUUUAGUGCUUCUAUCUCAGGAGUAACAGUUGAAGGCCUCAAAGGUUGCAAGGCUCUGAACAAAGAUCCAGACCCUGCCAAUCCUAUUGAGGGCAAAGAGGAAAGAGCAUAUGUUGGGAGUCCACAUGAUGUAUUAGGGGUAUGCAAGGUUUUUAAAAUCAGAUCGGACCGGACAAUUCGAUUUCACUACAAAAUCAGGAUAGCAGAAAACCGGGGUAAAGUCGGCCGGCCCGGCGGUCGGACCGUUGAACUGGCGCCAGUUUUGAAAAACCGUUCGGUUCACUUAAAAUCAAAUCUCAGCCGUGGCAUUUAGAUCACACGGUAUGUAAGAAAAAAUUAGCAAAGUUAAGACCUAAUAUUCCAAUUCGGCAAUUAAUAUCACAUUCGUUUGUAACUUCAUUGUCUCGAUUCACUUCGCGUCUCUUGCUUGCAUUUCGUUCGCAUCUCCUGCUUGUCGAGUUUGUGAACGAAGGCCUCUAUGCUUCAGACUCCCUUCUCCUAUUUGCUUCAAGCUGUGGGAAUUUCACAUGCUAGAGAAAGAGAACUGAAGAUAAUAUGCAUUCCUCAACACCUAACACACAAUAGAGGCUUGAUAGUAGGUAUGCAUUUCUCCCCCAGUGCAAUAUUGUUUGGUCAUCCUGUGCGGGAACCAGGAUCUUCAGGAUGGCCGACCACCUUGUGCGGGAACCUGAAGCCACAAGGGAUGUAGUCACAUUUCCUGGAUUUGUUGACUGCAUUUACCUUGGCGCAUCUAAUGAGCUACAGCUUGAAAAUGGGUUGGGUGAUACCUUAACCAUCAGGAACACCAACUGGCCUGAUACUGUCUUAUGGAACCCGC